AUCGCUUCUCAGCCUUUUGGCUAAGAUCAAGUGAAUGUAAACUAAUUUACUUAUUAUUCUUUACACACAAGAGCUUUGACUCAAGAUUUUUUCAGCUCUUUCCCACUAUUAUGUGAGUGUAAUUCACAUGAGUGUAAUUUAA
rnacentral:snRNA from 1 species